CUGGGCUCAGCUAAAUUCAAUUCACAUUUGUACAAAGCUGCAAUUCAUACUGGGAUGUCUGAGGACUCAAGUGAACUCAAAUGUGCAUUUGCAGCCCCCUCAUGGAAGGGAACAGGCAAGGAACACGUUUCGACACAAUAGCGGUUUGGAUUUUUUCCCGUAAAAGACACGUGUUGCACUCUCUGCAUUCCCUCGGCGCGCGUCUAGUUGUGGGCGCUUCGUUAAGGAACGCAUCAAGACUCUCUGCUAUCUCUUCACCUCACAGAGACCUUCAGACAGCAUAAUGGGUUUAAAAUUUAUAUGCAGCUCAUGAACAAGCACUAACAGAUGAAUCUGUCUCACUGGAACCAGAACAGCACGUGCAUUGUUUUUGUUACUAAACUACAAUGAGGGAACUUAAGUGUUUGGACCUGAAGCUUAAAAAGAAGCUGGAUGUUAACGUCCCUGGGUGUUUCUCCUCCUGUGUUCUCCAUGAGCUCUGCAUUCCCAGGAACACUGAACAACUUAUUUGGCAAAGCAGGCCUCUGAUCUUCUCCACGACAUCAUUACGUCUGUGCUGCCGCAGUGCGCUGAUGAGCUGAGCGAGACUGGCUUCAGGACCUCGGA